GUGUGUGUGUGUGUGUGUGUGUGUGUGUGUGUGUGUGUAGGCGUUCCUAAACACCUGAAUGUGAGUAUGAUGAAGGAGGAUCUGUUGAAGCUGGAUGGUGUGGAGUCUGUGGAGGAUCUGAAGCUCUGGGCUUUAACUGCUGAUCGCACUGUGGCUCUCGCACACAUUCAGCUUGCACCAGGCAGUGUGGGAAACUGGGAGGAAGUGCAGUCGAAAGCUCGACACCUGUUGAUGAUGUCACACGGCGUGUCCCACUGCACGGUGCAGCUUCAGAGCCAAACACACCGUUUCACACAAUCCUGCUCCAACUGUGUGUUAACCAGUGCCUGAACACACACACAAACACACACACACACACGCCCAACAGGGCAUCUAAUUUCUUUACAGGUUGCUAUGCAACAGCAAAAAGCGCCAAAGCCGGAGCGAGUGUGUUUUCAGUUUAAACAAACUACACUUUUUCAUCUUCUUUUCUUUUUUUACCUUUCUCAGACCACACACACACACACACACACACACACACACACACACACACACACACAUUUCAGUAAAUAAAAGCUGACUUCUGUAACAUUGACACUUAUAUUCAGUUCAUAAAAACACUUUUUCUUCAUGUUUAGUUUGGAAUAAUUUCAGUGCCGAAUCCCGGAUCACGUGAUCCUCACUCUCCUCCGAAUCCCGGAUCACGUGAUCCUCACUCUCCUCCUGAUCUUGCGCUAAUGAUGUGUGUGAGAAUUGGAGCUGAUCAUCCACACAUUUAUCCUGAGAGAAUUUUUCCUAUAUUUUGCUUUAACAUUGGUUAUAUUAAACUCAUUAAUUAAUUAUUCCAUCAUCUGAUGAGGAAAUGAAUGAAACUGAUCCAGUUGAUCUUUAUUUGAUUAUUGCACUGUUUCUUUUGUUUGUGUUUUAUUUUAAUGUGUUGGAGUUUAUAGGAACUGAAAUGUUUUACGAGAGGAAGCAGUGUGGCUUUCCAGCGAGCCGUCCUGGGGGUCCACCUCCAGAGUCUCAGAUCAUCACCACCUUUUAUUCUUUUAUUACUUUUAUUAUGAUUUUUGUUGGUUUUAUUUUUUCAGAAGGUUAAUAAUGUUGGGAUUGUUGUGUUUCAAUCUAAAACACCGUCUAUGCCUCCAAAUGUUUUUGUUUACAUGUUUAUUUACAUUCAUUAAUUACUUGUAAUUUCUUCUCGUCUGAUGAUUUGCACAUUCCAGGAACUUGAACAGAGAUGAAUCCUGUUGUUUGCAGUAUUUAUGUUGAACUGUGAAACUCUGCACUGUGGGAGUGGAACAGAUUCUUCUCAAAAUAAACCUGUUUUGAAGUCCUGUAA